AUAUAUAUAUGUAUGUAUGUAUGUAUAUUUGUGUGUGUGUGUGUAUAUAUGCAUAUAUCUGCUUACCAGUUUGAACACAUGAUGACAGGAUCAUUUUUUAAUCAACUUUAUACUCAGUUCCCUUGUACUUUCUACAGACGCAGCUAAUAACGGAAAGGAAUUGUCUGUGUUCUUGAUGUCCUUAAAGCUAAGUGUUAUGGAAGGACUGACCAAGUUUGGGGCAUCAUCGGAGUGCAUUUCACCUUCUUACAAACACUCCCUUCUUCACUCAACAGACUUGUUCCGACAUGGUUGUUUCAACUAAAUCUUCGAGUAUCUAUCUUCCAUCGAUUUCCGUUCACCUGUAAGUUAUUUCUCCAAGACAAACACAACCACCCUUGCUCUGAUGAUGGCUCAUCAAAGACACAGAAACCUGUGACUCGCUUUCCCUCCAUUACAUUUAUCAUAGGAAACAUUAUAUGUAUAUAAAUUCUUCCUUCUCGUUGACAUAGCAGUUUUUGGUAGAAAGUGAAAGAAUUAUCUUUCCAUCAUGUGUUUAAACUGAAGAGAUAUACACACUAGCUACACUGAUACAUACACACACACACAUAUAUAUAUUCACUCACAUACACACACACACAUACUUACACACACAAAUAUGCAUAUAUAUAUAAUGGUUUCUUCAGUUUUUCUUGUUUUUUUGUUUACUUUUCUUUUAUUUCUUUAUUUCUUUUUGUUGUUAAUGUUGUUUUGUGUUUUGUUAAAUAUUUUGUAAUUAAUUUCUAGUACAGUACAAAAGAGGCAUUAACAGUACACUGCAGUAUACAUAGAGGUAUUGACAGUUUAGUAUCAUAGAGGUGUGACACCAAAUGUCUUUGAAAGUACAGUAGAUAGUUUUGACAGUACAGGAGACUACACUGACAGAACUAUACAAUAAAGUUAUUGACAGUGCAAUGCAGCAGUUAUUCAUGGCCUGUUGAGCUAUUGGCAGACUUUUACAGCAGAAGUAGUGAAAAUAUAUAGUAGAGGGAGUUGUUGACAACAGAGUUAUACAGUUAGAGUCAUUGACAUUACAAUGGAUUUGUUGACAAUUGACUGUACAGCAGAGUUAUUGACGGUAUAGUAGGGUUAUUGACAGUAUAGUAAAGCUAUUGACAAUAGUGCAGAGUUGGUUUGACAGUGCAGUAUAAUCAUGGUCAGUACAGUACAGUACAGUAUGGAAUGUUCUAAAACUUAUAUUUGUAGAUAUUCUCAGAAUCAAAAAAAAAAAAAAAUUGCUUGUUUGUUUUUUAAUUCCAAAUAAAAUGGAAACAUUUACAAUAAAAACUAUUAUCAUUAUUAU